rnacentral:rRNA from 1 species
UACGAAGGGGGCAAGCGUUGUUCGGAUUUACUGGGCGUAAAGGGCGCGCAGGCGGCUCUUCAAGUCAGAUGUGAAAGCCCCGGGCUCAACCUGGGAACUGCAUUUGAGACUGAAGAACUCGAGUUCGGGAGUGGAUGGCGGAAUUCCCAGUGUAGAGGUGAAAUUCGUAGAUAUUGGGAAGAACACCGGUGGCGAAGGCGGCCAUCUGGACCGAGACUGACGCUGAGGCGCGAAAGCGUGGGGAGCAAACAGG